rnacentral:rRNA from 1 species
UACGUAGGCAGCGAGCGUUGUUCGGAGUUACUGGGCGUAAAGGGUGUGUAGGCGGUUGUUUAAGUUUGGUGUGAAAUCUCCCGGCUCAACUGGGAGGGUGCGCCGAAUACUGAAUGACUUCGAGUGCGGGAGAGGAGAGUGAAAUUCCUGGUGUAGCGGUGAAAUGCGUAGAUAUCAGGAGGAACACCGGUGGUGUAGACGGCUCUCUGGACCGUAACUGACGCUGAGACACGAAAGCGUGGGUAGCAAACAGG